CAGCAGCUGGAGGACACAGACCACAGCAUGGACGCCUCAGCGACUCUCACAACAUCUGCAGCCAUCACGUUCUGGGCUCAUCAGAUGAACCAGCUACUACAAGCGUGUGUGUCUGACACAGACACCUGCUUAUGACAAUCAGCAAAGGAAAACAAGGACAGAGCAACAGCAGAGAAGACGUGCUCUGACACAGACACUGGUUGAAACAACAGGAGAGGCUUCAGACGUGAUCGGCCCAAAAGAGCUGCAACCGAGGAUCCAGGAAAGGUCUGUCAUCGAGGAACAACUGUCCCAUUGAAAGGCUUCACCCACUGGCGCUCACAUCAGACUGAUGGUUGGGGAAGGAGGAAGGUGACGGUUCCUUUUCACGUGACGUACAAGACGUUCCACACGUCCCUCUGUGAAAACAUGAUGGAGACAGAUGACAGGACGUGGGUCCUUUCGUGAACAGAUGUCAACGGGGUGGAGACUGGUGAACGACUUCUGACCCCAUGUGACGUAUUUACCUACUUUGCAUACUUUUAGAAAACUUUUUUUUAUUCUGCCCGUCAUGUGCAGCAAACAGUGAACUGGGUACCUCCGUAUUCUAAUGACACACUACAUGCUUAUGUUUUUAUUUUCAUUUCAGAGGACGCUCUGACCCAACACUCAGCCUAACAGGAAGCCCUGCUUCCCUGUGGCUCACACACAGACAUGAUGUAGGUUUGAUCAGAGGAUGUGAACCAGUGGUCAUCACACCUAAAUCUGACCACAGACCAUGUAAACAACAACACCCUCUUAAAGGAAGCUAUAGAUGGCGUUACUGCAGACACCACUAAUCUACUGAAACAUUGGAUGCUACAGGCCACAAAGAGCCUGUCUAAAUUACAGUUUGUUCAGACAAAGGUUAUUUUCUUUGAUUCUUUUGAAAAACAUCACAUCUUUCCACAGCUCGACGGCUUAGAUACAACACCACUUUGCUCAACAUGCUGAACGUUACUAUCAAGACGUCGUCUUGAAGUCUGGCACUUUGCUAAGACACUACUCUGCUCAGGCUGCAGAGUUGAUUGUGUUGACUGAAGCUAGUAAACUAGCAGAAGGAGAGUCUGUUACCAUCUACACAGACUCACAGACGCUCUGUGGAAGCAUAGGAAGCUUUGAAGUCUGAUUGCAAACCUAUCUUACAUCAUGAUAAGGUUCUGCUUUGCUGGACGCUGUCCUGCUGCCUACAGCUUAUGCUGUUUUUACAUCAUCAGUGACGACUUUGUUUCUGCCGACAUGCAGCUGCAGACGCUGCUGCGAAGGUCGCUGCCCAACAACCCCUCCCUCUCCUGAUCCUUGUUUCCUCUCCUGAUCCUUGUUCCUCUCUCCAACUCUCUCUAUCCUUUCCUUCCUCUCUCCCUGUGCUUUAAACAUUUUGUACCUCACAGGAACGCAGACUCUGGCUGACGAAUGGUUCCACCUGUAGCCAUGGAGUCUGGUUUGGGCCUGAUGGCAGCCGUGCCGCCCAAACACUUUUUCCCCACAAUUCAGAUUUCCCAACAGGUGAAAACAGGCGACAGGACCAUUACACCAUCCAACCAGGGGACUGGGCGAUCGUUAAGGAGUUCAGGAGGAAGCAUUGGGACUCCAAACGGUGGCGAGGCCCCUUCCAGGUCCUUCUGACGACCCACACGGCUGUGAAGAUCGCAGAAAGAGCGACUUGGAUCCACUCCAUCCAGGAAGGUCCCGGAUCCAACAGACGACCCUCCAUCUACAUCCCACGGAGAAAACCACCACUGACGAAAAGAACUGAGAAGGACGACCCUCGCUGUGCUCACACACGCACUGAGGCGAGGCUGCGUUGACCGUUCAGCUAAAGGUGUGAGCCAAGCGCCGCCUGAAGCUGCGCCGGUGAAUCACACUAUCAGAC